UACACUUUAAUAUAUGAUGUAUGUUAAUUUUUGAUAUUAAAAGAAAUAGUUGAAUUCUAUUAAGUGUAG
rnacentral:tRNA from 1 species